UCUGUGGCUCAGUUGGUAGAGCAACGCAUUCGUAAUGCGUGGGUCGUGGGUUCGAGUCCCAUCG
rnacentral:tRNA from 2 species